CCUCAGCUGUGGGAGUCCACACCCAGCAGCAGCUGCACUCUGGGCAGGUCCUUGGGCCCAGGGCAUCCAUUCACUGCUGGCACCAUGCAGAGGGCGACUCCUGGGAUGUUUCAUUUAAUCCUCACAGCAGCACAGUUGUCAGACACCAAGCACACUCAGAGCCUGCACCAGUACACCUGCCUGGCAGUGGGUGUGGAAGAGCCAAAACUGCAAUCAAGACCCCUACCCCCACCGGCCAGGUUCUCAGCGCCCACUGGUCUACGUUCCAGCCUCCUGGAGUCCCUCUGAGUGUGUCUGUGG
rnacentral:lncRNA from 1 species